UAUAAAAUUUGAAACAGUAUAAUUAAUUGGAUUAGAAAAUAGCUUGACUAUUUUAAUCGGUUCUACAUAUUCUUUCAUGAAAAUUUUAUCAUUUACUUUAAAUCAGAAAAUCAAACUACAGACAUCGUCCUCGGGCAGAACUUGGACAGGAGUAUUGCCGUACUUUCUUCUCGAGUUCGAUCGUCAAGCGAGUUUCGGGGUUUUUAUUUCUAUAGCCUGUAAUUAUAUUGCGUCCCAACAGAGUCGAUCGGGUCAUUCAUUUUGACUUGUUUUUAAAUUAUGGACCUUCAGACUCUUCAGAAACAAUUAAAGUCAACUAUCCAAAAACACCAGAUUGUGGUGUCCAAAAUGAGAGACGAUCCUCAGAGUAUAGUUCUUCAGAAACACCUACAUGAUCUUCAAAGUGAAAUUCAGAAUCUGAGUGAAAAACAG